rnacentral:rRNA from 1 species
UACGUAGGGUGCAAGCGUUGUCCGGAAUUAUUGGGCGUAAAGAGCUCGUAGGCGGCUUGUCGCGUCGGCUGUGAAAACCUGGGGCUCAACCCCGGGCCUGCAGCCGAUACGGGCAAGCUAGAAUUCGGUAGGGGAGACUGGAAUUCCUGGUGUAGCGGUGAAAUGCGCAGAUAUCAGGAGGAACACCGGUGGCGAAGGCGCACAUCUGGCCCAAUACUGACGCUGAGGCGCGAAAGCUAGGGGAGCAAACGGG